AUUGAACGCUGGCGGCAGGCCUAACACAUGCAAGUCGAACGAGUGGCGGACGGGUGAGUAAUGUCUGGGAAACUGCCCGAUGGAGGGGGAUAACUACGGGAAACGGUAGCUAAUACCGCAUACCAUCGGCUUUGCCCCGAUGUGAUUAGCUUGUAGGUGGGGUAACGGCUCACCUAGGCGACGAUCCCUAGCUGGUCUGAGAGGAUGACCAGCCACACUGGAACUGAGACACGGUCCAGACUCCUACGGGAGGCAGCAGUGGGGAAUAUUGCACAAUGGGCGCAAGCCUGAUGCAGCCAUGCCGCGUGUGUGAAGAAGGUCUUCGGAUUGUAAAGCACUUUAAGUUGGGAGGCGUUACCAAAAGAAUAAGCACCGGCUAACUUCGUGCCAGCAGCCGCGGUAAUUC
rnacentral:rRNA from 1 species